rnacentral:rRNA from 1 species
AUUGAACGCUGGCGGCAGGCCUAACACAUGCAAGUCGAACGAGUGGCGGACGGGUGAGUAAUGUCUGGGAAACUGCCUGAUGGAGGGGGAUAACUACUGGAACCGGUAGCUAAUACCGCAUACCAUCAGAUGUGCCCAGAUGGGAUUAGCUUGUUGGUGGGGUAACGGCUCACCAAGGCGACGCUCCCUAGCUGGUCUGCGAGGAUGACCGGCCACACUGGAACUGAUACACGGUCCAGACGCCUACGGGAGGCAGCAGUGGGGAAUAUUGAACAAUGGGCGCAAGCCUGAUGCAGCCAUGCCGCGUGUAUGAAGAAGGCCUUCGGGUUGUAAAGGACUUUCAGCGGGGAGGCGUUACCCGCAGAAGAAGCACCGGCUAACUCCGUGCCAGCAGCCGCGGUAAUAC